AGGAUUUCUGGAGAGAAGGCUGGGAUCCUAGUUCUCAGAAGCUUGGUCACUUUGUCUUCCAAAAUGGGAUAUUGUAUCCAUUAGUCCUUUAGUUAAAACCCUCAUGCCGAUUCCAUAUUCUGUUUUGUAAGCAUUUUACUUGUUUUUUAGUGGCGAGGAACGAUGCGUUGCUUGAGUUUUUGGAUAGUUAUCUGCAAUUUCAGAAUAGAUGGUAUGAUUUUCCACAUCGAGGGGCAAGGGGAGUUGUUGUAGGGGUCAUCAUCGGAGAGCUUGAGCUAUGUCGGCGAGUUUUUUCUCUAUAGAAUGUCUUCCAACAAGGAUCCUGGGGCCCACCCAAAUGAUUGUCUCAGCAUGAAAGAGCACACAGCUCUCUUGCAG